GGAUUUUCCAAAGGUAACAAUACAUGUCUUUUCUAAAGAACUAAGUAAGAAAGCUAUUGCAAAUUAAACCCUGAAUUUUUAUCUUUUCUGCCAUUAAUUGGUAAACUUCUCCAUUUAAGAGCCACAUCUAUUUUCAAGCAUUAAAAUACACUUUAUUUUCCUAAAGUAUGUAGUUUCUAAAUGACUUCCUAGAGCCCAUUUAAUUUGGGACUCAUUAAUUUUGCAAAGUGAUUCACUUGUUGUUGACAUUGUCUUUUACUGUCAAGGAUUAUCCAUUUGAGCUAGUCUUUUUGUUUUUCAUACAUGCUUCAUGCUUUAGGUUAAAAAAUAAGGAGAUCCAUUUUUGUCAUUUA
rnacentral:lncRNA from 1 species